CCUACGGGGGGCAGCAGUGAGGAAUAUUGGUCAAUGGUCGGAAGCCUGAACCAGCCAAGUCGCGUGCGGGAUGACGGCCCUGCGUAUUGUAAACUGCUUUUGUCCGGGAAUAACGCGCCUUACGUGUCGGUCUUUGCAUGUACCGUAUGAAUAAGGACCGGCUAAUUCCGUGCCAGCAGCCGCGGUAAUCCGGAAGGUCCGUGCGUUAUCCGGAUUUAUUGGGUUUAAAGGGUGCGUCGGCGGACCGUAAAGUCAGCGGUAAAAAUGCGGUGCUCAACCCCGUACAGCCGUUGAAACUGGCAGGCUCGAGUGGGAGAGAAGUAUGCGGAAUGCGUGGUGUAGCGGUGAAAUGCAUAGAUAUCACGCAGAACUCCGAUUGCGAAGGCAGCAUACCGGCGCCAGACUGACGCUGAGGCACGAAAGCGUGGGUAUCGAACAGGAUUAGAUACCCCAGUAGUC
rnacentral:rRNA from 1 species